GUGUCAGCCGCCGCGGUAAUACAGAGGGUGCAAGCGUUAAUCGGAAUUACUGGGCGUAAAGCGUGCGUAGACGGUUAUGUAAGUCGGGUGUGAAAGCCCCGGGCUCAACCUGGGAAUUGCAUUCGAGACUGGAUAGCUAGGGUACGGAAGAGGGAAGCGGAAUUUCAGGUGUAGCGGUGAAAUGCGUAGAUAUCUGAAGGAACACCAGUGGCGAAAGCGGCUUCCUGGUCCAGUACCGACGUUCAGGCACGAAAGCGUGGGGAGCAAACAGGAUUAGAAACCCUUGUAGUCC
rnacentral:rRNA from 1 species